CUGUGGGGUCUCAGGAGGCAGAGCUCUGGGGCGCCUCCACCGUGGCCUGGGCCCUCUCCUGCUCGCCUCCUUUCUCUGCACAGGUGC
rnacentral:pre_miRNA from 1 species